rnacentral:rRNA from 1 species
UACGUAGGGGGCAAGCGUUGUCCGGAUUUAUUGGGCGUAAAGCGCGUGUAGGCGGCCUGGUAGGUCCGCUGUGAAAACUGGAGGCUCAACCUCCAGCGGUCGAUGGAAACCAUCUGGCUAGAGUCCGGAAGAGGAGAGUGGAAUUCCUGGUGUAGCGGUGAAAUGUGCAGAUAUCGUGUGGAACGCCAAAGGUGAAAACAGACAGCUGGGAGUGUGCUGACGCUGAGACACGAAAGGCAGGGGAGCGAACGGG